rnacentral:tRNA from 1 species
GGAGGUAUGGCUCAACAGUAGAAUGUGUACCUAGCAAAUGCAUGACUCUGAGUUUAAACCCCAGUACCACCA